CCGAGUUUACAUAAUCCCAAAACCCAUGUGAAACAUACAUAUUACGUUGCCUCGGCGGAUCAGCCCCGCUGCCCCCGUAAAACUAGGGGUACGUGCACGCCCGAUGACCCCUAAAACCUACUUGUUAUUUAGUGGAACUUCUUGAGUUAAAACAAAAAAUAAAUCA
rnacentral:misc_RNA from 1 species